rnacentral:lncRNA from 1 species
UUAUUCUUAUGGGCCAAUUACAUAUAAGUCCACUUUGAGACAUUUUUUCUCACAUAGAUCCACCCCAACAUUUUUACCCACAUAAGUCCACCCAAAUCUAAAUAAAGUUUUGUAUAAAGUAUUAAAGUUCAACAUAAUUACAGACUGCCAUCCAACAAAAAAAAUUAGAUUUUCUCCUUUAUAUUUACAAGAAUGCCACUAGUAUAAAAAGUCAACAACCAUUCUCAUUUCGGAACAGUCUCCGGCGGACCUCCGGCGAGAUUUCCAGCGGACCUCCGGCGAGGUUUUCGGCCGACCUCCGGCGAGAUUUCCGACUGACCUCCGACGAGAUUUCCGACUGACCUCCGGCGAGGUUUCCGGCCGACCUCCGACGAUGACAAAAAUUACUACUACCAGCUAAAAAAGCUACUACCACCAGCUAUAAAAGCUACUACCACCGCCUACAAAAGCUACUACAAAAGUUUCCGGCCGACCUCCGGCGAGGUUUCCGACCGACCUCCGGUGAGGUUUCCGACCGACCUCCGGUGAGGUUUCCGGCCGACCUCCGACGAUGACAAAAAUUACUACUACAAGCUAAAAAAGCUACUACCACCAGCUAUAAAAGCUACUACCACCGCCUACAAAAGCUACUACUGUGAGGUUUCUGAUGAAAACAAAAGCUACUACCACAAGCUACAAAAGCUACUACCACCGCCUACAAAAGCUACUACUGUGAGGUUUUCGACGAACACAAAACUACUACCACCAGCGACAAAAGCUACUACCACCAGCUACAAAAGCUACUACCACCGCCUACAAAAGCUACUACUGUGAGGUUUCCGAUGAACACAAAAGCUACUACCACCAGCCACAAAAAAUACUACCACCGCCUACAAAAACUACUACUGUGAGGUUUUCGACGAACACAAAAACUACUACCACCAGCCACAAAAGCUACUACCACCGCCUACAAAAGCUACUACCACAGCCUACAAAAGCUACUACUGUGAGCUUUUCGACGAACACAAAAAAUACUACCACCAGCCACAAAAGCUACUACCACCAUCUACAAAAACUAUUACCACCGUCUACAAAAGCUACUACGUCCAUUGAUUCAUCAAAUUACACAACUAAAUUAGCAGUCAGUGAUGCGUGAUCAAGAUUGAACAAGAAUAGAAAUGAAUCGGAAUACUCAUAAAACCACAGCCCUUGGAUCGGCCUGUGUCCUUGUCAGAAAUGACAACCGCCUCAAGGCGGUGGAUCCUCGAUAGAUCUGCACCUCACCGACGAAUCACCUUCGUCGUCACCGUCUCGAACUCAUAGGAGAAGGUGCGGAGAAGAAGAUGACGAGGCUGAUCGGAGAAGGUGCGGCCAGUGAUGACGGGGCUGAUCAGAGGAUCGGAAAAGGUAGAGGAAGGUCCACACACACUGGGGAGAUCUACUAAGGCGCAUAAAUCUCUGCUUCCAACGGCGGCGGGCGCCGAACAAGUGGUGGAUGACGUCGUCGGAGUUGGUUGGACCUUGUAGAUCCGGCUGCGCGUUGAGGAGAUGCAGUCGAGGUCGAAGCGGAGGUCGUCGAGGAGUCGUCGACGGUGGAUCCAGAUGUCAUCGUCAAGGCGACGGCAUCGUCAGAGCCGGAGAUGCAAUCAAGGCUUAGUCGGAAGUAGCGCCGAGGAGGCGGCGGCUUCGCCAUGGCAGUGGGUUCGCGAGAGAGAGAGAGAGAGAGAGAGAGAGAGAGAGAGAGAGAGAGAGAGAGAGAGAGAGAGAGAGAGAGAGAGAGAGAGAGAGAGAGAGAGAGUAGAGAGAGAGGAGNNNNNNNNNNNNNNNNNNNNGAGAGAGAGAGAGAGAAUUGGUGUAAAGGAUAGGAGGGCAUUUUAGGUACAUCGUAAAAGUAAAAUAACAGAUUUAGCCUUGAAAGUGGACUUAUAUGAGUAAAACUGUUAUGGUGGACUUAUGUAGGAGAAAAUGUUCAGAAUGUGACUUAUAUGAAAUUUUCUAUAUUCUUAUGCAGUAUUUAAAAUUUUCUCUGAAAUUAUAUCAAAUUUCGUGUUCAAAUCACACAUCCUACUGAUGCAACUCAUGAUCAACCUCCAAAGGUUUCAGAACAUAAAUGCAUAUCAAUCUAUUAAUACCUUGUUUGCCAAGAAACAACCCAAAAGACGGAUAACAGAAAAGCAAGAGACUUAGGCGUUUAGGGUAAACAUUGAAGAGACGACCUAAACACCGUUCCGCUCUUGUGCUUACUUAGCCACUCCAAGCAUUCCCGGUCAAACUUUAGCAUGCAUUCCUUAAUAUUCCUAUCACUUUUAAUUUUCUGGAAGAGAAAAGAGUCCAAAAAGCAAACCAAUGAAAA